rnacentral:rRNA from 1 species
AUUGAACGCUGGCGGCAGGCCUAACACAUGCAAGUCGAACGAGUGGCGGACGGGUGAGUCAUGUCUGGGAAACUGCCCGAUGGAGGGGGAUAACUACUGGACACGGUAGCUAAUACCGCAUACCAUCAGAUGUGCCCAGAUGGGCUUAGCUAGUUGGUGGGGUAACGGCUCACCAAGGCCACGAUCCCUAGCUGGUCUGAGAGGAUGACCGGCAACACUGGAACUGAGAAACGGUCCAGACUCCUACGGGAGGCAGCAGUGGGGAAUAUUGCACAAUGGGCGCAAGCCUGAUGCAGCCAUGCCGCGUGUAUGAAGAAGGCCUUCGGGUUGUAAAGUACUUUCAGCGGGGAGGCGUUACCCGCAGAAGAAGCAACGGCUAACUCCGUGCCAGCAGCCGCGGUAAUUC